CACACACACACACACACACACACACACACACACACACACACACGCAUACGUUUACCUUUAUGCACAUAUACACACAUAUGCAAAAAAAAGUAUUAUUCACAAGCAUAUAUCAUUGUGCUUGUGUUUUAUUAUAUAUUAUUGUUUGCUUCACCCUUUGUUUCAUACAUUUUCCCUGUGUUUAUUGCAUUUUUUUUUUUUUUCUUUCUUUUUUUCUUUUUCUUUUUCUUUUUUUCAGAUUUUUUUUGUCUUUCUUUUUUUCUGUUUUCUUAUUUUUUUCUUUUCUUUUUUUUUUUUCUUUUUUUUUUUCUUUCCUUUUUUCUUUUACACCAUGGUCUCUGCAUAAGAUAGUAAAAUAGGUGUCCCAUUUUGUGCCCCACUGGUGUCGUGAAGUGAAUUAGGAAGAGGAAUAUCCUCCCUCCUCCAUUUGAGAUCCCUUUUGUUUCUAAAUUAAUAUAAUUUGAUUUAUAAAGAAAAUUGUAUGCAUCUUUUUAUUUGAUUUACUUAUAUCUGUUUCUUGCCUUUUAAAACUAUGCCAUCAUAAAAAUGCCUUUGUAAUCAGGAAGUUUUUAAAACUAGCGUGUUCCUCAGCAUUUGGCAGGGCAGAUGUAGUGUUUGUGGCAUGUGCUCGUAAGUCGUGGUGAGAGCCACAGCCUCUCAUUGUUCUCCUGGUGCACCCUCGGCAUAGUGUGCUACCCAACAAGUUUGACUAUGGUGAAAAGUUCUGGAUAAUCAAGUACAAGCAUUUCACCUGUACAUGUGGUUUGGUGAAGUGCAAGUAUUCCAGUGAGACCAUCCACACCACCCUUGAGAACUACAACCGAAGAAUCAGGGAGUUGCAGGAGAUGUCAUAAUGUUGUACCUGUUUUAGAGGCAGACACACUACAUGGUGUAUGGUAUUUAUGUACUUGUGAGGACAAUUACAAACCUAUGUAGAAGAAGUUCAAGUGAUACAGAAUGAAUUUCCAAUGUAUAUUCCAAGUCAGUUAUUUAAGAUUAGUGAAAAAGUCAAGUGGCCUCUGGUGAUAUAUACAGUAUGUGGGUAUACAAAGAUUACUAAAGUACAAACUGCUUUUUCUUUUUUAUUUAUUUAUUUAUUUUUUUAAGGUCAUUGACUGCAGCAAAGUAAAAUGGUAACUGGUCUGGACCAAGUGACAAGUGGUAGUGUUUCCUGUGUUUGGUCAUGGAUUAGACAUACAUCUCUUAUAAGUACAAUUUAGACAUUGCUUAAACUGCGUUAUUUGUCAAUAAUAAAAAAAAAUGCAGAAGUCAGCAUAGCCCAGCUUUUUUCAAAAGGAGACUUUCUUAAGACAUUUUUUUCCCUUUUUUUCUGAUAAGCUUUCAAAAAGCCUGUGUGUGUAGGCUUUAUCAGUAGUAAAAUGUAAUGUUCAAAUAGGGAUUGGUCAUUACCUAAAGUCUAUCAUUGAAGUAUUUUACUUUCAGUGUCUCAUUGUCACUGAUCACUUACUAUACUUUUCUGUUAUGUCCAUUUGUGUUUUUAUUACCACUUGCUUUGGCAACUGCAUGUUUUCUAGCCAUUUGUUGACAGAGUAGCCCCAACAGUUUUUCUUUUCAUAAGGUUUAAUGCUAUUUAAUACUUCCAUUUGAUACAGGUAGUAAGGACAUUAAUAUGUAUUAGGAGAGGUAGCAACUCUUGCAGCCAAGUACUUGCACUAUCCGCUGGGGUUUUAUUGCUUUUGUUAUAUGUUAAUGGCUCCACAAAUUUUGUCACCAAAGAGUCAGUUACUUGGCCUACCUCAUGUCACUUGUUACCCCUAUUCCUUUUUCCCCCCCCUAUUAAUAUUACUCCCAUUA